rnacentral:rRNA from 1 species
GCCAGCCCGCUCAGAAACUCAAAGGAAUUGGACCGGGGGCCCGCACAAGCGGUGGAGCAUGUGGUUUAAUUCGAUGAUACGCGAGGAACCUUACCUGGGCUCAAAUGUAUGUUGACGUAUUCUGAAAGGGAUACUUCUUCGGACAAUAUGCAAGGUGCUGCAUGGUUGUCGUCAGCUCGUGCCGUGAGGUGUCGGGUUAAGUCCCAUAACGAGCGCAACCCCUACUGCUAGUUGCCAGCGGGUCAUGCCGGGGACUCUAGCGGAACUGCCAGCGUAAGCUGCGAGGAAGGUGGGGAUGACGUCAAAUCAGCACGGCCCUUACGUCCAGGGCUACACACGUGUUACAAUGGCCAGUACAGAGGGCAGCCACCCCGCGAGGGGGCGCUAAUCCUAAAAGCUGGUCCCAGUUCGGAUCGGAGUCUGCAACCCGACUCCGUGAAGCUGGAUUCGCUAGUAAUCGCGCAUCAGCCACGGCGCGGUGAAUACGUUCCCGGGCCUU